UCGUUUUUGUCAGAAACUCCAGCUAAUUAAUAAUGAUAAUAAUAUUGAUGGGUAUGGCAUCAGCAUCGGUCGGCGGCGGACAGAAGCGUUGUGAGCUUCAAUGGAAGUUUGUGACUGCAGGUCUAGGCCUGUUAAGAUACGUGGAUUUUACUGAGCGUCAACUCAGAUGAAGCUGUGAGCUCAACUAACAGAUUGAGAGCUUUUAUUUUGAAAGCUUUUUAUGUCAUACUGAAGAGCUUAAAAACUGCUGCGAUCGAAGUGGUCAAACUAAUUUCUGAAGCACUUGUUUACGUACUGAACAGGGAGGAAGCUCUCGGUAUCUUUGAAGCAUUUCAAAAGCUACUUUUUUUCCUCAUCGCUCUUCUGUUUGCCAUAAUUGGUUUUCACUUUCGCUCCUCGGACAUCUCUCCACUUGAAACGCAUCAUGCUAUUUUCUUGCUUUUCCUUGUGGCUAUAUUCGUCUACGGCCUUGCAUAUGUGUUGAUAUCGGUACUGCCUAAACACUCUGAGUACCUUUCCAUACUCAGGUUCAUCUAUCUAGUUUUUGGAACCAUUGCUAUUGAGCUACCUGCCUCAAUACUCAUUUCCCCCCUUCGGCUAUUCAUGGUCAAUUUAUGUUCAAUCCUUAUCAUAGGGGUACUGUGUUCGUACAAACAAAUUUAUCAAUUUGUUUGUCAGAUAUAUGGCUAGCUCCUACAGAGAUUCCAAUCAGCAGCUUUUCAAGCAUUUCUUUCAAGGGAACGAGGAGACAAUAACAAUCAGGUUGCAGAAAUUGUUCAAGUGGUCUUUUUU